rnacentral:rRNA from 1 species
AGUGAACGCUGGCGGUAGGCCUAACACAUGCAAGUCGAACGGCAGCACAGUAAGAGCUUGCUCUUACGGGUGGCGAGUGGCGGACGGGUGAGGAAUACAUCGGAAUCUACUUUUUCGUGGGGGAUAACGUAGGGAAACUUACGCUAAUACCGCAUACGACCUACGGGUGAAAGCAGGGGAUCUUCGGACCUUGCGCGAUUGAAUGAGCCAAUGUCGGAUUAGCUAGUUGGCGGGGUAAAGGCCCACCAAGGCGACGAUCCGUAGCUGGUCUGAGAGGAUGAUCAGCCACACUGGAACUGAGGCACGGUCCAGACUCCUACGGGAGGCAGCAGUGGGGAAUAUUGGACAAUGGGCGCAAGCCUGAUCCAGCCAUACCGCGUGGGUGAAGAAGGCCUUCGGGUUGUAAAGCCCUUUUGUUGGGAAAGAAAAGCAGCAGGUUAAUACCCCGCUGUUCUGACGGUACCCAAAGAAUAAGCACCGGCUAACUUCGUG